rnacentral:tRNA from 1 species
UUCAAGAAAUAGUUUAAUUAAAAUAUUAAUUUUGGGGAUUAAAGAUAAGGGAUUUCCUUUUUUCUUGA